UGUGGGUCUCAUUAAGGAAUUAAAGGGAAUACCAAGAAAUCUUAGCAUUGUGAGCAAGAUUUGUGGGUUGUGCAGAAAAAAUCGCGGAGACUAGACUUAAGGUCUGUCGCACAAGAUUUUUUCAAACUCCCGCAAAUCUUGCCACAAGGCGAAUUUAGCCUAAUUUCUUAGUAGGCUCACA
rnacentral:rRNA from 1 species